CCUCCGCCCUGUAGUGCAGGCGGCGCUUGUUGUUCAGCGGCGGCGGCCGAGCUCGGGUGCAUCCUCGGGCCCGCCGCCGCCGCCGGAGCGUUCGGCCAUGGAGCUAGAGGUGCCGGACGAGGCGGAGAGCGCCGAAGCGGGGGCCGUGACGGCGGAAGCGGCCUGGUCUGCGGAGAGUGGGGCGGCGGCAGGUAUGACCCAGAAGAAGGCUGGCCUUGCAGAGAACCUUCUGGCUACCUUCCCAAACUGUUUUUGGUCCCUGUUCCCCAGGCCCCCUUGGUGACAGGGCAGCCAGGCCCUGGCCAUGGGAAGAAGCUGGGCCACCGAGGCGUGGAUGCGUCGGGAGAGACUACGUAUAAGAAGACCACCUCGUCCACCCUGAAGGGCGCCAUCCAGCUGGGGAUCGGGUACACGGUGGGCAACCUGAGCUCUAAGCCGGAGCGGGACGUGCUCAUGCAGGACUUCUACGUGGUGGAGAGCAUCUUCUUCCCCAGUGAAGGGAGCAACCUCACCCCUGCCCACCACUUCCAGGAUUUCCGCUUCAAGACCUAUGCACCUGUUGCCUUCCGCUACUUCCGGGAGCUCUUUGGCAUCCGUCCAGAUGACUAUUUGUACUCCCUGUGCAAUGAGCCACUCAUCGAGCUCUCCAACCCCGGGGCCAGCGGCUCUGUCUUCUACGUCACCAGCGACGACGAGUUCAUCAUCAAGACUGUCAUGCACAAGGAGGCAGAGUUCCUGCAGAAGCUGCUGCCUGGCUACUACAUGAAUCUCAACCAGAACCCACGGACGCUGCUGCCCAAGUUCUAUGGGCUGUACUGCGUGCAGUCUGGUGGCAAGAACAUCCGCGUGGUGGUCAUGAACAAUGUGCUGCCCCGUGUCGUCAAAAUGCACCUUAAGUUCGACCUCAAGGGCUCCACGUACAAGCGCAGGGCCAGCAAGAAGGAGAAGGAGAAGAGCCUGCCCACCUACAAGGACCUGGACUUCAUGCAGGACAUGCCCGAGGGGCUGCUGCUGGACUCCGACACCUUUGGCGCCCUGGUCAAGACGCUGCAGCGAGACUGCCUGGUGCUGGAGAGCUUCAAGAUAAUGGACUACAGCCUGCUGCUGGGCGUGCACAACAUCGAUCAGCAGGAGCGAGAGCGCCAGGCCGAGGGCGCCCAGAGCAAGGCGGAUGAGAAGCGGCCCGUGGCCCAGAAGGCUCUGUAUUCCACGGCCAUGGAGUCUAUCCAGGGCGGAGCUGCCCGUGGGGAGGCCAUUGAGACAGAUGACACGAUGGGUGGGAUUCCAGCAGUGAAUGGGCGCGGGGAGCGACUGCUCCUCCACAUCGGGAUCAUUGAUAUUCUGCAGUCCUACAGGUUCAUCAAGAAGUUAGAACACACCUGGAAGGCCCUCGUCCAUGAUGGGGACACUGUCUCAGUCCACCGGCCCAGCUUCUAUGCAGAGCGCUUCUUCAAGUUCAUGAGCAGCACGGUGUUCCGGAAGAGUUCCUCCCUGAAGUCCUCUCCAUCCAAGAAAGGACGUGGUGCCCUGCUGGCGGUCAAACCCCUGGGGCCCACUGCUGCCUUCUCAGCCAGCCAGAUCCCCAGCGAGAGAGAGGAUGUGCAGUAUGACCUGCGGGGGGCCCGCAGCUACCCCACGCUUGAGGAUGAAGGCCGGCCUGACCUCCUGCCCUGCACCCCACCGUCCUUUGAGGAAGCCACCACAGCCUCCAUCGCCACCACCCUGUCGUCCACCUCCCUCUCCAUCCCAGAGCGGUCCCCUUCAGAUACAUCGGAGCAGCCCCGGUACAGGCGGCGCACGCAGUCUUCAGGCCAGGAUGGCCGGCCCCAGGAGGAGCCCCAUGCGGAAGACCUGCAGAAGAUAACUGUGCAGGUGGAGCCAGUGUGCGGUGUGGGGGUUGUCCCCAAGGAGGAGGGUGCAGGAGUGGAGGUCCCCCCAUGUGGGGCAUCGGCUGCAGCCUCUGUGGAAAUAGACGCUGCCAGCCAGGCCUCAGAGCCUGCCAGCCAGGCCUCAGAUGAGGAGGAUGCACCCUCUACAGACAUCUAUUUUGUAAGUUCCCCCCAAGACCCCUCCUCAGGCCCCUUUGGGCCCUUGGCCUCCAAGGCACCUGUGGACAGUUACAACUGCUUCUGUCUCUGGUGUGAUCACUCUGGGUGGCAGGGCCAUUGCUCCCCUUGGCCAUGGGGACACCUGAGCAAAGACGGAGGCCCCGUGUCUCUGGCAAGCUGGGAACCACGCGAAAGCUUCGUCCUUCUGGGGGAGGGACACUCGUGAUAGUGUGGCCUGGGGGCCUGGUGAGUGGCUGGGGGGUCUCCAUGCUGCCUGCUCUGUGAGAUGGGACACGCCCCUUCGUGGACAAGGUAGAUCUGACCCCGUCCACCACGGAGAGAAAUGCUGUCAUGGUUGCAGGCCCAGAACAGGGAUAUACCUGUAAGCAGUCAGAGCUGCAGCAGCCCCCUGGGGGUCAGCUGGCACUAUCACAAUGUCAUCUCUUGACCCUGGUGCUGAAACCUCAGCUGGGGUCUAGGGUUGUCCUCUCCCACCUGGGGUCCUCACUGCUCCCUACUAACUCACCCACGGUCCCUGAGCUGCUUCAGUUAGGUCUACGCUCCCACCUGGUCAGACAUACUGUCACCUGUGUUGGGGCCUUAUGGGAUCCCUAGUCCCCAACCCAGCCACACAUCCUGCUUCCGUCGCCUGUGCCUGCUAGUCCUGCUCAGCUGCCCACCUGUAUCCCCUGCCUGGUUCCCGCUUCAUCCUCUACCCUCUCCUCUCUUCCUUCCUCCCGCCCGGCCCACUGUGUGGCCAGUUCGCCCAUGGGAGAUACUGGCUUUUCUCUCCCCGUCGUCGCCAACUGCGGGCCGUGACACCAAACCACACAGGCACUGUAAGUGACCACAGCCCGCCACGCGUGGAGAUGGGGCUCCAGAGCACAGCACACCCCUUUUCUCAAGUGACUGAGAGAAAGCACAGCUGUAGUGUAGGUCAGCUGAGUCCCGCCUAGACCAGAGACAGAGAAGCCCUGUGACCCGAGCGCCACUCCCUCUCAACUACCCAAGCCAGGUCUGCAGUACCCCAGCUUACUCAUGUCACUCUCGGGUGUGGGCACUUAACCAGGCUUGAGUGUUGCAGGGACCACUGAGCCAGGACCUGCCCUUCCCUCCAUUGCAUACUUCACAGGAGGAGAAACUGAGGCUCAGGCCACACAAGGAACCCACAGGGCACAGGGUUCAGAGGAACCCAUCCUCACAGUCCAUCACUCGUCCUAGUGACCUUCCAGGACACGUGACUGCGCUGCAGUGGGCCGGUCUCGUAGCUGGGGCUGUUACCUCUCUUUCCACAAUAAGUACCAGGCCCAGAGAGGCCUGGGUGACCUGCACAGCCCUGGAGGUAGCAGGACUGUCUGUCACCCCAGCAUUAAAAGGUGGAAGCAGGAUCUGCAAUUUCAUUGAGCCAGGGAUGGCUAAGUUGGGGGUGCAAGGCUGCCCUCUGCAGGAUAGAUUGUUGGCCUCCUUGCAGGAGGUAGACCACUGGCGUCUGGCUGGCCUCUGGGGCAUGGCACACUCCGCCAUACCCCCACCCCGCUCUUGACCCCCACCCCGCUCUUGAUCUACUUGCUCAGCACCAUCAGCCUUGUUGUCUGAGGCCCUUCUGUGCCCCACUCCUGGCUGUACUCCUUGACACUGGGAAGCCCUGCAGAAGGCAGGAUGACAGCCCAGGACUGGCUCUCAGCGGUUUCGGCCCUGGGAGAGCCCGAUGAGGUUCAGCUUGGAUGGAACUCGCAGGAGCCAUGUCCCUGCACCUACCGUGCUCAGCGGUCAAAGCUUGCAGUGUUGUCUGCCCUGUGCUCAGCAGCCUGUGACUUGCAGCAGGCUGUUGGGGCUGUCGAGGGUAGGGGUAAGCCCAGGGAGGUCAGAGCAGGGAGGGCCCCGCUCCACUACAGGCUGGAUCAGUGGGGACCAGGGUAGUGGGACAGAGGGGGCACAUGGGGAGGAGGAGGGGAGGAAACCCCCGGCCCGCCCCCUGCCGGCCCUCCUGCACCCCUGCUUUACUAACUGCUUCCCGCUGCUGCUCCCCUUGCCGCCGCCGUUGCUUCCCCAAGGCCAAGGGUUGGGGGCAGGUGCCCCUCACAGGGACCCGGGGUUGCGGCUGCUCCCUGGGAUUGGGGUCCCCCUCUUUUACUUUCUGUCUCUUCCUUCUGCCUGUCUGCUCCUCGCCCCCUGCUCUUCUGCACCCCUCCUGCACGCGCUGCGCAGCCCACCGACGAGAGGAGCUGGGUGUACUCCCCGCUUCACUAUAGCGCGCGGCCCGCCUCCGACGGCGAGAGCGACACAUAACUUCUAUGCAGUCCCCAAUCUGGAGCCCAGCGUCCUUCUGCCACCCCAGCCACUUCCUGGAGGCGCUGCCCCCCACUGGGGCUCAGAGCUCAGCGACAUCACCUGGCCCAACCUUGUUCUCUCCCUCCCCACUGACGGACGGCACUGGCCAGGCCCAGACCCAGGAUAGCUCAGGCCGCCAUCAGCUGCUACCUGUGCCUGUUGGGGCAGCAAGAUUUGGAGUGCCCAUCCUGUAUUUAUUUUGGGUCUUUUUUUUUGGACGAAGAGUGAGCACAGGUGUGAUUUUCUAGAAAGACGACAAGACACAGAAAACCCAGGAAGAGGCUGCAGCCACCAGCCUAGGUGGAUCAGGCUCUACGUGUCUCACUACUCUGGGGACAGUGGCCCCGUAGCUCCAGUAAAAGCCACACACUCUAGGGCUCUUGUUAUGGCCUGCAGAGGAGACAGGCCCUGGAGCCUCCGCUUGCCAGCCCAGGUGUGUGCUCCUGAGUUGGGUCACCUCAACAGAGCCCCUCUGUCACCUCAGGUUUGGGACCCGAGCAAACCAGGACUAGGCAUGCCCUGUGGUCUUUCUGCAUCUGUUUACUGCCACUGGAAGGACAUCCCCACGCAUGACUGUCACCUAAUGCUGGACUGGGAGGGUCCAUGUUGUCUGCCUCUCAUCCCCUUGAAGCCCUGAGCUGGUGCCGUGGGUCCCCUCAACUACCAGGGGAUUCUCUGCCCUAAGAAGGGCACAGUCAGGCUGCAGGCUGAGGGCUGGGUCCUAAGACACCGUGGCUGAAGAAAAUAAGGGAGAAAGUGACAUCACCUCAGCAAAGCCAACUAUGUCCACCGAACACCAGGGAGAUUGCGGCCAGUCUCCUCCCCUGGGCACACCCCAGUGUGUUGGGUACAGUCCAAUCGUGUCAUGCCCCUGCUUCAUGGAUGUUCCACCCACGGUGUGCUGGUAGGAGGAAUCAGGCUGAAAUGUUCUGAAAGCCAGCAGCCUGAAGCCACUGCUUUUGGGCCAGCCGCGUAGGCCUCUUGGGUUGCACCUUCAGGGACAGAGGUCAGGACCUGGCUGGCUUCCAAGGACUGCAGCAGCCAUGGAGGCAGUGAGGAGCAUGACACAAUCAUCAUGGCCAGAAAAGGCAUGGCCAGGGACAGGACCCGUGCGGGGGUGGGGCAACCGAAGGAGAGAUGGACAGAUGUCUGUCCCUGGACCUCAGUCCCCUUCCUGUUUUGGGAUGCACAGUGAACACACUGGUAAGCUGCUGCAGGAGUUAAUUCAGGGGCUGCAAAGGCAACUUGGGUUGGGCCUUGCACAGACCAGGCAGGUAUAAUAUCACACCUGUCAUCCCAGCACUUGGAAAGUUAAAGCAAGAGGGUUGUGGCAAAUUCCAGGCUAGCCUGGGCUACAGAGCGAAAUGAGACCAAAAGAUAAAACUCCCAGGGCUGGCCCUACCACUCAGUGGGCAGAGCUCACCCAGCUGCGUAAGCCCUGAGUUCCAUCCCAGCACCGCAGAAACCAGAUGGGGUGGCACACAGCUGCCGUCCCUGACUUGGGAAGUAGAGGCAGAAAGCAGGCAUGCAAGGUCAUCCUUGGCUGUAACCAGUUGGAGGCCAGCCUGGGCUACAUGAGACCCUCUCAAAAGAGAAUCUGUAAAUAUCUUUGUGACUCCCCAUCGUGUCCCCAUCCUGUUCUCUCCAACGGCCACUAUUGCCCCACCGUGGACGGUGUGUGAACUGUACUGUAAGGCCUGGGGGCUCCUCCAAGGCUGAAGAGGUGCCCUCUCCGGCCCACUUCUGUUCUCCUCAAGCCAUCCCAGCAAGUCCCCUGUCCAGCCCCACAUCAACCUCAGUGCAAUAUGCCCUCCCCGUGGGGUCCCUUGGCACGGUACUGUCUGCAGCCCCUUGUCUCUCACCCCUAGCUCCACUCUCCGGUGGUUAAAAAUCGCAUCGCACAUCCUCCCCCCAAUCCUGUUUUUAUUGUUGAAUCCAUUCUGUAAACUACAAACCUCGUGUGUCUUACUCAUCAGGACUUGGGAUCCCUCGUCCUCAGCCUAUGUGGUCUGGUGUUUGACAAUCCAAGCACAGUGUCCUCUUGGCACCAACCAGAGGGGCCUGUCCCUCCAGCGCAGCCGGCAAAUGUAUGCAGUCCAGGUCCCCGCCCCACCUGUCACAGCCCCUCUUUUUGAGAUCUGUAAUAAAUCUCUAAUAAGAAACA